GCGGAAGUGGCCUUAGCGAGCCUGCACAGGGCGGCAUGCGGGAGAGUAGGUGCGCCCUCCCAUUCUGUGGGACACGACUUCCUGAUUCCAAACCAGACGUGAUCUCCAAGCUGGAGCAGUGGGAAGACCCGUGGACUGUGCAGAGAGACGUCCCGAGAGGUACAGAAUCAGAGCCUGGGUCCCGAGCUCCCGACAGAGGGCAGGCUCCAGGGCAGGUGACGCGGGGGCUGCCAGGGCACACACCAUCGUGAAGCCACAGAGCACAGAGGCCAGGCGGCAGCGGGGACGCGCAGCCGGCGGGAGCAGAGCCCCGAGCGGAGCCUCGCAGGAGGCUUCCCCAGGCUCGCCUUCCUCACCGAGCAUCAGGACACGCGGGCACGGGCGCAAGCUCGCGCGAACCAUGUUCGCCAAGAGGGCGUCGCGUGCAUUUCAGCCCUGGAUCCGGGAGAGGGCGUGUGCGUGGAAGCCUUCGGCUCUUUUCCGGACCACAGUCUCCCUCUAGGAGUCGACGCUGGGGAGGACGCGCCGGCGCGCGGUGGGUGGGGAGGGUCACCUGGUUGGGUGAGAAAGCUGGGCAUGGGCCUGGGACCUGUCCUCUGGAGAUGCUUCUCCGUGAACUUCAAGGGGAGUCACGGCCACCCCCAAUCCUCCCCCAUGUGCAGGAAGCUCUGUGUGCUGGAACGUGGUGUUACCAAGUCCAGCUCUUUAAAGACUGUGCGUCGCUCCUCAGCUUCAGCAUGAAGACUUUGUUGAAAUCCGCUGCGACGGCGAUGCCCGUGUAAGGCGCCCACACUGUGUGAGCACUUUGCAAGUGUUGGCCCUAUCUCAUCCUGUCAGCGGCCCUGGGAUGCAGGCACUUCUAUCCCCACUUAGAGCUGAGAUUCUGAGAGGUUAAACUGCUUGCCCAAGGCCAGCUGGAAGCCAUUCACUGUUCAGGACGGAAAUAUUAGAUGUAGCAGAUAAGGAGAGCGUAGUGGAAGUCCAUCCAUCCCUUUCAGCGGACACCCAGACGUGUUCCCUGUGAGGAGGCGGUGCUGGAACAUAAAGCCCCCUUGAGAAUUGGGAGACAACAGGAGGAUUGAGUCCCAUCUGAAGAAGCAGUCGAACCAUUUGACCCACUCGAGGCAAAGGCAGCGUGGGAACUGGGCAGCCCUUGCUCAAUCCAGACGUCGUUGGUGAAAUGCCUGCUGGGAGCCACGAGCUUGUUCCCAUCACAGGCGGGGGCCUUUCACUUCCUGUACAACUUUGCUCAGGGCUUCCCUGUGGCCACCAAGAUCAUAGCCAUCCUCUUGGGUGUGAAGUGGCAUCACCGUGUGGCUUCGAUGUGCAAUUCCCUGAUGACAGAGGAUGUUGAGCAUCCAUUCAUGUGCUUAUUGGCCAUUUGCAUGUUUUCCUUGGGUAAAUGUUACUGUCUUUGCCCAUUAUUAUUUUAUUUAUUUAUGUAGACACACUGUGUGGCUUGCAGAAACCACAGAUUUUCCCCACCAGCGAUGGAGCACAGAAACUAAGAUUUUCCCCACCAGCGAUGGAACCUGGGCCCUCAGCCGUCCUAACCACUGGCCCACCAGGGAAUUCCCUGCCCAUUUUUAAAUUGGGUUAUUUAGGGACUUUGCUGUAAGAGUUCUUUAUAUAUCCUGGAUGCAAGUUGUGUUUUUGUGUGUCUGUGUGUCUUUAUGUGGGUCUGUAUGUCUGUGUGAGCUUAAGUGUGUGGCUGUGUCUGAGCAGGUACAACUUUGCCUCCCACCAUGGACAUGGAGAAGCAGAGGGCAUCAUGAUCAUCUGGGAAGAGGAGAGGGUUUAUUAUCUCCGUGUUACAGAGAAGGAAGUAGAAGGCCGGAUAAAUGAAGUCAUUUGCCCAUAAAAGACUUAAGAGGCAGAACUGGGAAUUGAAAUCAGCUGGGUCCCUCUCCAUAGCCUUUGCUUCCUACUGCAUUAUGCUGUUUCUUAGCCAGUGGCUCUCAGCCUUGCCUGUACAUUAGAAUCAUCUGGAAAUUUUUAAAAGUCUGGAUGGGGACUUCCCUGGCAGUCCAGUGGUUAAGACUCCAUGCUUCC